rnacentral:rRNA from 1 species
UACGGGGGGGGCAAGCGUUGUUCGGAAUUACUGGGCGUAAAGGGCGCGUAGGCGGUUCAUUAAGUUGGAUGUGAAAACUCUGGGCUUAACUCAGAGCCUGCAUUCAAAACUGAUGGGCUGGAGUUCUGGAGGGGAUAGCGGAAUUCCUGGUGUAGCGGUGAAAUGCGUAGAUAUCAGGAGGAACACCGGUGGCGAAGGCGGCUAUCUGGACAGAAGCUGACGCUGAGGCGCGAAAGCUAGGGGAGCAAACAGG